rnacentral:rRNA from 1 species
GAUGAACGCUGGCGGCGUGCCUAAUACACGCAAGUCGAGCGAACGGACGAGAAGCUUGCUUCUCUGAUGUUAGCGGCGGACGGGUGGGUAACACGUGGAUAACCUACCUAUAAGACUGGGAUAACUUCGGGAAACCGGAGCUAAUACCGGAUGAUAUUUUGAACCGCAUGGUUCAAAAGUGAAAGACGGUCUUGCUGUCACUUAUAGAUGGAUCCGCGCUGCAUUAGCUAGUUGGUAAGGUAACGGCUUACCAAGGCAACGAUGCAUAGCCGACCUGAGAGGGUGAUCGGCCACACUGGAACUGAGACACGGUCCAGACUCCUACGGGAGGCAGCAGUAGGGAAUCUUCCGCAAUGGGCGAAAGCCUGACGGAGCAACGCCGCGUGAGUGAUGAAGGUCUUCGGAUCGUAAAACUCUGUUAUUAGGGAAGAACAUAUGUGUAAGUAACUGUGCACAUCUUGACGGUACCUAAUCAGAAAGCCACGGCUAACUACGUG